GAUGAACGCUGGCGGCGUACCUAAUACAUGCAAGUCGAGCGAACAGACGAGGAGCUUGCUCCUCUGACGUUAGCGGCGGACGGGUGAGUAACACGUGGAUAACCUACCUAUAAGACUGGGAUAACUUCGGGAAACCGGAGCUAAUACCGGAUAAUAUAUUGAACCGCAUGGUUCAAUAGUGAAAGACGGUUUUGCUGUCACUUAUAGAUGGAUCCGCGCCGCAUUAGCUAGUUGGUAAGGUAACGGCUUACCAAGGCAACGAUGCGUAGCCGACCUGAGAGGGUGAUCGGCCACACUGGAACUGAGACACGGUCCAGACUCCUACGGGAGGCAGCAGUAGGUAAUCUUCCGCAAUGGGCGAAAGCCUGACGGAGCAACGCCGCGUGAGUGAUGAAGGUCUUCGGAUCGUAAAACUCUGUUAUUAGGGAAGAACAAAUGUGUAAGUAACUAUGCACGUCUUGACGGUACCUAAUCAGAAAGCCACGGCUAACUACGUG
rnacentral:rRNA from 1 species